CCUACGGGAGGCUGCAGUGAGGAAUAUUGGUCAAUGGGCGAGAGCCUGAACCAGCCAAGUCGCGUGAGGGAAGACGGUCCUAUGGAUUGUAAACCUCUUUUGCCGGGGAGCAAAAAGCGGUACGUGUACCGCAUCGAGAGUACCCGGAGAAAAAGCAUCGGCUAACUCCGUGCCAGCAGCCGCGGUAAUACGGAGGAUGCGAGCGUUAUCCGGAUUUAUUGGGUUUAAAGGGGGCGCAGGCGGCGAGUUAAGUCAGCGGUAAAAUUUCGGGGCACAACCCCGACGAGCCGUUGAAACUGGCGUGCUAGAGUGGGCGAGAAGUAUGCGGAAUGCGUGGUGUAGCGGUGAAAUGCAUAGAUAUCACGCAGAACUCCGGUUGCGAAGGCAGCAUACCGGCGCCCAACUGACGCUCAGGCACGAAAGCGUGGGUAUCGAACAGGAUUAGAUACCCGGGUAGUC
rnacentral:rRNA from 1 species